GACGAACGCUGGCGGCGUGCUUAACACAUGCAAGUCGAACGGAAAGGCCCUGCUUUUGUGGGGUGCUCGAGUGGCGAACGGGUGAGUAACACGUGAGUAACCUGCCCUUGACUUUGGGAUAACUUCAGGAAACUGGGGCUAAUACCGGAUAGGAGCUCCUGCUGCAUGGUGGGGGUUGGAAAGUUUCGGCGGUUGGGGAUGGACUCGCGGCUUAUCAGCUUGUUGGUGGGGUAGUGGCUUACCAAGGCUUUGACGGGUAGCCGGCCUGAGAGGGUGACCGGCCAGCGGGGGGCGGAGUGGCGGCCGGGAGUGCGAGAGGAGGGGGGAGGGGCGAAGACGGCACGAGGGGGGGAGGGGUGAGGGAGAAGCGCGGGGGGCGGGUGGGGGGGGGUGGGGGUGAUACUGCUGUUCGGGUGGGUCGAGGCGUGGGAGGGGGUGGUGGGGAAAUAGGCACCGAGUAACGACGGGCCAGCAGGGGGGGUAACAAUAGGAAGAGCACCAGUAUGAAC
rnacentral:rRNA from 1 species